GGAGGUGGGAGCAGUGUGUGCACGUAUUGCAUAGAGCUCCAGACUGCAGUGCAGCAAGAGACUGCCUGGUCGAUGUGCAGCAGCAACUGAUCACCUUAUAAAGGAUUCCCUGCCCUGUCUGCACUAGUCCCUAAAGUGUCACCGGUGGAUGCUGAGAACCUGCUAUAGGCCUACAUCACUUGAUGGUGUGUUUGCACUGUUAUCCUUGAUGUUCAGUUGCCUUUGGAAAUGGAUGCAAUCUGUGGCUGUGGAAUCUUCUGAGGACUGCUUGAAAUAACUUGGAAUGGCUGGUGUGCCAUAAUGGAGAAAAAUCACCAGGAAUCAAUUUUUCCUAUUGUGGUGAACUGAGAAUGUGGAUUCCUCAACACCAGAACAACUUUUGGGAACUUCAAGCAGGAACUGUAAGACUUUCUAAAACCAUUUUAAAAGGACUAUUGAAAAAGUAGAAGACACAGACUCCUGCUUCCUUGAGCUUGUCCAGAUUCCUCUUAUUUUGAUAUUUCAUCCUCUGUCCUAGCUUUAAAAACAAAAUAAAUAAAAAUGGUUUAAUAAAAGGAUUUCAAAUGAAAAAUAA